rnacentral:ribozyme from 1 species
UGUUCAACAACUCCUUCCUAUCCUUACCUCCUCGUGGUACCGGCCGGAAACUAUGAGCAACCAUAGCGAAGAUCGGGUAACCAACCCCGGUGGGAAUUUUCGUCGUAGGCUGACAGGGAAGG